rnacentral:lncRNA from 1 species
UUCAUUUAAUCAAUAACAAUAGGAUUAACAUCCCUUCUUACACGUUAUCGCAACAAAUUCACUAAUACUUGCCUUUAUUGAACUAAUGAAGGUUCCACCCUUAAACCAAUACACGAACCUGAUUACAAACUCCUUUAGAGAUACCUGUGUUUCAAACGUACAUAUAACUAACAUAAUACACGCACAUAAAUUUAAGCAAGUGCACAACCACUUACAAAAGGUGUAGAACUGAA